rnacentral:rRNA from 1 species
UACGGAGGGUGCAAGCGUUAUCCGGAUUCACUGGGUUUAAAGGGUGCGUAGGUGGGCAGGUAAGUCAGUGGUGAAAUCUCCGGGCUUAACUCGGAAACUGCCAUUGAUACUAUCUUUCUUGAAUACCGUGGAGGUCAGCGGAAUAUGUCAUGUAGCGGUGAAAUGCUUAGAUAUGACAUAGAACACCAAUUGCGAAGGCGGCUGGCUACACGAAUAUUGACACUGAUGCGCGAAAGCGUGGGGAUCAAACAGG